GAUGAACGCUGGCGGCGUGCCUAAUACAUGCAAGUCGAGCGAACGGACGAGAAGCUUGCUUCUCUGAUGUUAGCGGCGGACGGGUGAGUAACACGUGGAUAACCUACCUAUAAGACUGGGAUAACUUCGGGAAACCGGAGCUAAUACCGGAUAAUAUUUUGAACCGCAUGGUUCAAAAGUGAAAGACGGUCUUGCUGUCACUUAUAGAUGGAUCCGCGCUGCAUUAGCUAGUUGGUAAGGUAACGGCUUACCAAGGCAACGAUGCAUAGCCGACCUGAGAGGGGGGUCGCCCACAGGGGAGCGGGAACGGGGCCACACCCCAGAGGGGGGGAGGCAGAGGGGAUUUUCCGGCAUGGGGGAAAAGCGUGAGGGAACAGGGCGGAGGGGGGAAGAAGGGUUUUGGGUCGUAAAAACUUUUUUAUGGGGGAAAAAAAUAGGUGAAAGAAGGUGUACCCUUCUGGACGUUCCCUAAUAAAAAACCCACGGCAAACUACGUG
rnacentral:rRNA from 1 species